rnacentral:misc_RNA from 1 species
GAUGAAGAACGUAGUGAAAUGCGAUAAGUAAUGUGAAUUGCAGAAUCCAGUGAAUCAUCGAAUCUUUGAACGCACAUUGCGCCCGCCAGCAUUCUGGCGGGCAUGCCUGUUCGAGCGUCAUUUCAACCCUCGACCUCCCCUUGGGGAGGUCGGCGUUGGGGACCGGCAGCACACCGCCGGCCCUGAAAUGGAGUGGCGGCCCGUCUGCGGCGACCUCUGCGUAGUAAUACAGCUCGCACCGGAACCCCGACGCGGCCACGCCGUAAAACACCCAACUUCUGAACGUUGACCUCGAAUCAGGUAGGACUACCCGCUGAACUUAAGCAUAUCAAUAAGCGGAGGA